GCCUGGGUAGCUCAGCUGGUAGAGCAUGAGACUCUUACUCUCAGGGUUGUGGGUUCAAGCCUCACAUUGGACA